rnacentral:lncRNA from 1 species
GAAACUUAAACUGAGAUCUACAUGAAAACUGUCCCUUUACCACAGUGUGAAACUAAAAUAUUGAGAAAUAUGAAGCCUACGCAUGAUGAUGCAGCUACCCACCUGAAAUUUCUCAAAGACAGCUUCUUCAGGUUCAAUAUUUCAAAUCUUUAUUUAUUUUUUAAGUUUAUCAUUGCUGUCCUGUGCACUUGUCUUUUCUAAAUGUUAUCUGCCAGGUGUUGGUCCAGUCUGAAUUCUAACUAAAUCUUUUUCAAUGUCUUUUGCAGCUUUACAGUCUAUGCUAAUCCUCCUAUAUUGUUAUUAUUUGCAAACUUUACUAAUUUACUAUUUAUUAAUAUUAAUACAUUUAGAAGAGCAAUGGUUCUAGUACAGAUCCCUGUGGUAAAUAUACUUCUAGUGUUCUAAAAACAAACACACAUAUUGAACAUAUACUGUAUGUUUUUAUUUCUAAGUAUAGAUUCACCAGUUUUUUCUGUUAUAACCAUCCAAUCUGGAGUAGCCAAUUGUGUGUUUUAAUUUCAUGGUUCACAGGUACAAUCCCCAGGACUACACACAGAGGAGUAGGUAGGUAGUUUCCAUUGCUUAUCCACCUUCAAGCCCUCACUUGUUUUUGAUAAUUUCAAAGGCAGCAAAGCUCCGCAUUGGAAGCACAGCGUAUGCUAGAGGAAAUCUGUACCAGCGUGUGCAUCCCACACAGACAGUACCACAUUCCUGCAAGUGUGCAGGACACUGCGGGGGUCACUGUGUCUCUUGAGUGCUGUGAGAGAGAGCUGGUGGAUCACAGGACUCAGUCACUGGAGCUACUUUCAGGAGUAUAGCACAGCUGGACUUUCCCUUUGGGACAGUGGUUUUGGUAACAGGUGUUCUUGUACUGUUCUGGGAGUAAAGUGUGUUAUGUUUUCUGUGUGUCAGGUAGGCAGUUGUACAAAUUGUUGUGUCAUGAGUCCUGCAAGAUGGAUGGACUGAUGGACUGUAAUAAAAUGGGUAGCUGUAAUACUAAUCGCUUGUGCUGAUCUGUGAGUGCACUGGUGGCUCUGAGAGAUAAAACAACCUGGUGCAGGGGAACCUUGCUUGGGGGUGUAGUCUACUAUAAAGUUUAAAAGCAAUUCUUGCAUUAAGGGGUCACUAUCUAUGACACAAGCAGCUCUACUGGUUGAGCCUCUUUGUAGGCCUAGAAUGUUUCCCAUGAGUUUAAUCAAAAGCCUUUUGAAAAUCUAAAUAUACCGUAUUGUGUACUUUGUUUGUGUCUAUUACUCUUGCAGAGCUUUAACUUGUAAUUGCUUGGUCAAACACUCUCAAGAGUUAAAUAAAAAAGAUCCCUUUUCAAUUUAAAACAUGAGCACUGUAUUACCAGUAUUCCAGUUAAUGUGUAUUACCCCUAACUCGAACAACUGUUCGAAGAGGUUUAUUAACAUCCUAUAAAUUACAUCUUCUGUGUCCUUAAUUAUAGUUGUUAGUAUAUCUUUAGCACCUAGAGACUUCAUUUUAAAUGCUUCAUGUUCUUGUAUCUCUUCUGCCUAUUCUGCUAUUGUUGUUUAAUAUAGAUGUUUGUCUUUAGGACUCCACCUGUACAUUUUUAAAAUAUACUUCAAAGCAUAUUGUGUUAUCAUCAUAGUUCCCUAAAGGUUCUCUCAUCUGUAUUUUCCUUAUUCAGUCUUUAUUGUUUGAAGACUAAAUCAAUACCAGCCUUUACUCUAGUAAGUGUCUUGACAAAUUGGGUAAGGAAGCUUUUGUUAGUCAUGUCUGCCUUUUCACUUUCAGCUGUUGACAUCCCUGAUGUUUUUUUCCCAUUUUAUGUGAAGAAAUGUGAAAUUAUAACAUCCCAUCAUAACCACAUUUUUCUUUGCAUGUAUAUCCCUGA